rnacentral:rRNA from 1 species
UUGACCUCGGAUCAGGUAGGGAUACCCGCUGAACUUAAGCAUAUCAAUAAGCGGAGGAGAAGAAACCAACAGGGAUUGCCCUAGUAACGGCGAGUGAAGCGGCAAGAGCUCAAAUU